CCUACGGGAGGCAGCAGUGAGGAAUAUUGGACAAUGGACGAGAGUCUGAACCAGCCACGUAGCGUGGAGGAUGACUGCUCUCUGGGUUUGAAACUUCUUUUAUAUGGGAAUAAAACAGGGUAUCCAUCCCCUCUUGUAUGUAUCAUAUGAAUACGGAUCGGCUAACUCCGUGCCAGCAGCCGCGGUAAUACGGAGGAGCCGAUUGUUAUCCGGAUUUAUUGGGUGUAAAGGGAGCGUAGGUGGAUUGUUAAGGCAGUUGUGAAAGUUUGCGGCUCAACCGUAAAAUUGCAGUUGAAACUGGCAGUCUUGAGUACAGUAGAGGUGGGCGGAAUUCGUGGUGUAGCGGUGAAA
rnacentral:rRNA from 1 species